rnacentral:SRP_RNA from 1 species
GGGCAAGCCUUCUACGACCAGCUCCUGCUGAACUCCCCCAGGGUCGGAAGGCAGCAAGGGUAGGUGGUUGUAGCGGUGCGAUAGAAGUAACUUGCCCACU